rnacentral:rRNA from 1 species
GAUGAACGCUGGCGGCGUGCCUAAUACAUGCAAGUCGAGCGGACGGACGAUAAGCUUGCUUCUCUGAUGUUAGCGGCGGACGGGUGAGUAACACGUGGAUAACCUACCUAUAAUUCUGGGAUAACUUCGGAAAACCGGAGCUAAUACCAGAUAAUAUCUUGAACCGCAUGGUGCAAAGGUGAAAGACGGCCUUUCUGUCAGUUAUAGAUGGUUCCGAGCUGCAUUAGCUAGUUGGUAAGGUAACAGCUUACCAAGGCAACGAUGCGUAUCCGACCUGAGAGGGUGAUCGGCCACCCUGGAACUGAGACACGGUCCAGACUCCUACGGGAGGCAGCAGUAGGGAAUCUUAGGCAAUGGGCGAAAGCCUGACGGAGCAACGCCGCGUGAGUGAUGAAGGUCUUCGGAUCGUAAAACCCUGUUAUUAGGGAAGAACAUAUGUGGAAGUAACUGUGGCCAUCGUGACGGUACCUAAUCAGAAAGCAACGGCUAACUACGUG